UACGGAGGGGUGCAAGCGUUAAUCGGAAUUACUGGGCGUAAAGCGUGACGCAGGCGGUUUGUUAAGUCCGUUGUGAAAGGCCCCGAAGCCUCAACUUGGGAAUUGCAGUGGAUACUGGCAUGGCUGGAGUACGGUAGAGGAAGGUGGAAUUCCGGUCGUAGCAGUGAAAUGCGUAGAUAUCGGGAGGAACACCAGUGGCGAAGGCGGCCUUCUGGACCAGUACUGACGCUCAUGCACGAAAGCGUGGGGAGCAAACAGG
rnacentral:rRNA from 1 species